AGACAGACAUCACUCUUUAGAAUCCCUGCAACUUUGAGCAAGUUCGUGAAUCUCACUAAGGCUCAGUUUCCUCCAUAAAAUUAAUCAAUAUCAGGGCCUCUGCAUUGGACAACUCCAGAGGGCACCAUUGGGGUUAUACCUUGUGUUUGCCUAACCUUCAUUGCAGUGGGCAGGUGCAUGCUUUCUACAAUGUCCUAAGGUCUAAAGGGGUAGAGUUCUGUGUGUGGCAUUUUAGGCCUGGAAAGGAUGAGAGUCUACAAAACCAGAGAAAUACUGCAGCAAAUGGUCAAACCCAGGAGGGAAUGGUAUGAACCUCUGGUUUACAGCCAUUGGUAAGAAGCACACAUGACAACCUGGACUUUCCAUCAACAUUUGAAGCGGGAGCAGUCUUGUGGGAUCAAGCUCUUAACCUGUGGGGUCUGCUACUAACUCUGAAUCCAAUGAACACAUGGACCCAACACUCCUUUGGCCAAGUUGAUGAUUCUCCACCAUUUAUUUGCCUGCCUCACUAUACACUUCUAGCAAGCCACUGCAAGGCUGCAUUGCAGCUAAGAGGAAGCCCUCCUUGAAGGCUGCACAGCAAGGAGUGUUGGCAGAGUAGCUGGGUUUCCACUGGGAGAGCACGAGUCAGCAUCAUGCUGGGCUCAAGCAUGGAUAUGCACUGCUGCUGCCAGAGCAUCAUAAUUUGCAAGCAUUUAUCGAGUACCCUUCAUCUAAUUUUCAUCCUGCGGAAACUAGAAAUUGCUACACUUGCACACAAUAAACUUCUGGCAGUUAGCCUUCUAAACUGGGACACUACCAUUUGGGAGGGAAAAGACCUUUCUGGUGGUUAAAGAUGGGGCUUCCAGUUACUGCAUUUGUUUUAAUACAGUCUAUUCCAUAGA